AUGGAUUUUAGGUACCUGAGAAAAGUUUAUCUCCUCUUCUCUGAAUAACCAAAAUUCAUCUUUAUGUGUAGUAUAGAUUAUUUUUCUCUCUAGAGGAGAGAAUAUCUGCUCUUCUAAGGUCCAAAAUUAAUAAUUAGAUAUUUAAAUCGAAGAUCCAUAUCCUUGAUUAUGAUGUAUACUACUAAAAAUAUCUACACACCAAAAAUCAUGUGUCCUAGUGAUUCCUAAAUUUUAUAUCAAUGAAGUAAAAUG
rnacentral:lncRNA from 1 species